rnacentral:lncRNA from 13 species
AUGGUCGAACUAUUCAGGUCUAUCUGUACAUGGAGGAGGGAAGGAGAAGGGAAGGAAAUAGCGAAGAGAAGCAGAGAAGAAAACAGCCUGUUCCAAAAUACUGAGAGCUUCUCGAUACCAUGGUGUCAUUGGCUCCUGGGCACCUGUGCCUGGAACUUACACUUGUUGGAAACUAGAGAGUGGGAUCGCAGUUGUAUUGGACUUGAUUCACAGUUCUGCACCUUGCACAGCGCCAGGCCUGGAGGAGCUGGAACAGAAGCCACCUGAUGGUGAUCAGUUCCCAGGAAUGCCAUCAGCCGCCGUACUGCACGCCUCACCAGGGGUGAUGGUGCAUACCUGUAGUCCAAGCUAUUCUGAAUGCUGAGACGGGAGGAUCACUUGAGCCCAGGAGUUCAAGGCUGCCAUGACUAUGAUGGAGCCACUGCACUCCAGCCUGGGUAGAAGAGCAAGACCCUGUCUCUAAAAAUAAAUACUUAAUUAAUUUAAAAAAAAAAAACA